GCUGACACAUCCUGGCCAAUCUCCAGCAGACCCUCCCUCCCAGACCCUCCUACUUCCUGGACAACAUCCAUGUUGAAAUCCAUGUUGAAGGCAGCUUCAACAUGGAUGCUGUCCAGGAGGUGGGAGGGUUUGGGAGGGAGGGUCUGCUGGAGAUUGGCCGGGAUGUGUCAG
rnacentral:miRNA from 1 species